rnacentral:rRNA from 1 species
CGACCGGCGCACGGGUGAGUAACGCGUAUGCGACCUGCCCGUUGCAGGGGGGAUAAUCGGGAGAAAUCCCGUCUAAUACCGCGUAACGCCGCGGGCUGCAUGGCCCUGCGGCCAAAGGGGAGCGAUUCCGGCAACGGAUGGGCAUGCGUGACAUUAGCUAGUUGGCGGGGCAACGGCCCACCAAGGCGACGAUGUCUAGGGGUUCUGAGAGGAAGGUCCCCCACACUGGUACUGAGACACGGACCAGACUCCUACGGGAGGCAGCAG